rnacentral:rRNA from 1 species
GGGACACACCCGUUUCCAUUCCGAACACGAUGGUUAAGACCUGGUCGGCCGAUGGUACUAUACUGGAGACGGUAUGGGAGAGUAGGUGGAUGCC